rnacentral:rRNA from 1 species
CCCUUAGAUGUUCUGGGCCGCACGCGCGCUACACUGAUGCAUUCAACGAGUCUAAAACCCGGUCUGAUAGGGCUGGGUAAUCUUUUGAACGUGCAUCGUGAUUGGGAUAGAUGAUUGCAAUUCUUCAUCUUCAACGAGGAAUGCCUAGUAAACGCAAGUCAUCAGCUUGCAUUGAUUACGUCCCUGCCCUUUGUACACACCGCCCGUCGCUCCUACCGAUUGAAUGUUCCGAUGAAUACCAUGGACUGAGAGUAUGAAUGGGUUCGCCUAUUUCUGCUUCUCGGGAAGUGGAGUAAAUCUUAACAUUUAGAGGAAGGAGAAGUCGUAACA